UAAAUUGAAAAUGACCUUUUGGCACUCUCGAGGUGAGCUGGGAACUCAGACAGGUGUGGGUUGGAGGUUGCUUUGAGGGCUGAUUGUAAGGUAAGUUGGAAGCCUGAUGGACUUGUCUCUCUUUCCUCACAGAGGCUUCAGCUACUCCUGAGCCUGGGGUCUCUGUGCCAUCGAGGAGUCAAGGUUACACGUGGAUCUUGAUUGUUGCAGGGCUCCUCAGCAUCCUGGUAGCUGCAGGUUCUGUUGCUGUGUGGGGCCUGUUCAAAGCAAAAAGCCGAUCUAACACCGUCAGUCUUGAAAAAGCAUCCAGGGAACAGCUUAUGUCUGACAAGAGCCAGACAGGCUCCUUUCCCUGAAGGGGAUCUUUACACUGAGGUGACGAGGUGGGACUAGCCUGGUCUCUCUCAUGCUCACCACACAGCCUGACUGAAUUGGACAUCAGCUCUCAAAUCUGGGUUGUUACACUGAAUACCAAGAGGAUGCUCCCCUUGGAAAUAGGUCUUAGACUGUGGGACUACUUUGGCUCUGGAAAUAGCACAGGAUCUUCCCUGGCACUGUGAAAUCAGCCCUCACAAAGGUAGUAGGAAUGUCUUCAUUGUUCUGAGCUCCAGUUGUUAAUGCUGAUUCCCACUAGCGUGGCCUUGAACCCAAAGAUGUUUUUCUUUGUGAAGUGCCAGAUGCUAUUCACUGUUUUCCUUCUACUCCUAGCCAAGAACCUUUUUUUGACCUGCUCCAUUCUUCCCCCUGGAUUUUGUCAGGGAAUAGUGGCUUCCUAACCCGUUUCCAUAGGAGCUCACUGACUCUGCACAGACCAGACAGAUAUUCCAUGUUUGCACUAGUGUUUGAUGCUGCUCAGUUCCACAACAGGUGGGUUUUACUGACGGUUCUACCACAAGGUAACAGUUAAAAUCUUCCUGUUUGCUCUCACUUUGCUGUGCUGUCACCCAGGCCAGUGUGGGGCCAGGAGCUCCUCGGCCCCCAGGCAGGCAGCUCCUCACACACUCCCUCACACAAACACCUCCACUCUUUACUGACCUGCUCUGCCCACCCCGGUGCUGAAUGCUGGCUGUGGCUCCUCUAACACUGUUAAUGGUGUCUUCCUUAAAACUGUUCUGACACAAGUGAUGUCUCUUGGGGGUCCGUACUGGGACCAGUGCUAUCCCAUGUCUUCAUCAGUGGUGUGUAGAGUGGGAUCAAGGGGGACCCUCAGCCAGUGUGAGGAUGAGACCAGGCUGCAGAGUGCAGCUGGGAGAGGGGGAUGUCAUCCAGAGAGACCCUCAGGCCCACAGGAACUUCCUGAAGGUCCAUAAGGUCAAGUGCAAGGUCCUGCACCUUCAUCAGGGCAGCUGCUGGAGAAGAGACAGCUCCGUGAGACUGUGUUGUGUCUUGUCCCCGUCUAAAGGGGGGUUGUAAGAUAGAUGGAGAGAGGCUUUUCACCAAGGUCUGUAGUGACAGGGCAGGGGGCAGCAAUUACAAACUGACAGAGGUUGGGUUUAGGUGGGAGAAGGGGAAGGAAGGUCUUAUGGUGAGGGUGGUGAGGCUCCAGCACAGGUUGCCCAGGGCAGCUGUGGCUGCCCCAUUCCUGGGGCCAAGUUGGACAGGGCUCUGAGCACCUUGGUCUGGUGAAGGUGUCCUUUGAAAUAAGCCACAUCUUGGGUCAGACACUGUGUGGCACAUGGAGCUCCAGCCAAAGGGCUCAGUGCUGUGUGCCUUGGAACUGGCUGUGCAGGGGCAGAUUAGUGCCUGGUGCCCUUGGGCCACGUGCACCUUGCACAAAUGUUCACUCAGUGCACAAAGCUGCUGCCUUGGCUGCUGACCUGUGUGCCUUGAGGGUGGGAACUUGUCUUGCCAAGCAGACUCCAGUCAUCAGCCUUGGAGCAGGGAUCUUCCACUCCUGGAUAGCGUGUGAGUGCUGCCAUACCCCAUGGGAGAAACUUCUAAAUGUGGUGUGGAGUCCUGAGUUAUUCCAGGGCUGCUAUUUUUAGUACCAAGGAGUUAUUUGCAAGGGUGCACAACCUUGCUUCUGUUUCCAUAGGGCCAGGUGGGAAUAGCUGUUGUAACUGACACAGGAGAAUAAAGAAUGUGAAACCAA